GAUGAACGCUGGCGGCGUGCCUAAUACAUGCAAGUCGAACGGGAUUUAUUUAAUGAUUUUUCGAAGUUUAUUAAAUAUUUCUAGUGGCGGACGGCUGAGUAACGCAUUGGUACCUACCCCAAAGUGGGGGAUAGCUCAUCGAAAGAUGGGGUAAUCCCGCAUGUGACCCUCGGGUUAAAGCUUUCGCGCUUUGGGAAGGGCCUUUGUCCUAUCAGUUUGUUGGUGAGGUAAUGGCUCACCAAGACUAUGACGGGUAGCUGGAUCGAGAGGUUGACCAGCCAGACUGGGACUGAGACACGGCCCAGACUCCUACGGGUGGCAG
rnacentral:rRNA from 1 species